rnacentral:rRNA from 1 species
UACGGAGGGUGCGAGCGUUGUCCGGAAUCAUUGGGCGUAAAGGGCGCGUAGGUGGCUUCUUAAGCGUGCGGUGAAAGCCUGGGGCUCAACCCCGGGUCGGCCGUGCGAACUGGGGGGCUGGAGCACUGUAGAGGCAGGCGGAAUUCCGGGUGUGAGCGGUGGAAUGCGUAGAGAUCCGGAAGAACACCGGUGGCGAAGGCGGCCUGCUGGGCAGUUGCUGACACUGAGGCGCGACAGCGUGGGGAACAAACAGG